CAAUUUUCUUACUUGGGGAGGGAGUCACGAAAGGAGGGGGGUGUGGGAGAAUUAGUCUCUCUCAAGGACACCGUCCUAUGAGACAUGGAGCAUGGCUGCUGCUGUUUUUUCCUAGGAUGUUUGUUGCUGUUGGGCACCCCCAGAAGAUCUGGGGAAAGAAUGCCACGUGACUUCUCAAGGGAAGAGUGGCUGGAACCGCCUAACAUAGAUAUUGGAAGAGGAGGGGGAGACAGAGAAAAACAUUGAUGUGAGAGAGAAACAUCAAUCGGUUGACUCCCAUAUGCACCCAGACUGGGCAUGGAACAUGCAACCCAGGAAUGUGCCCUGACCCGCAAUUGAAACAGCCACCUUUUUGGUGUCGGGGACGAUGCGCCAACCAACAGAGCCACCCGGCCAGGCCAUUGUGUAUAAACUUGCUAGGAUGGAAAACCCAGCUGCUCGUGCCCCAGAGACCCAGAGUGUUCCUUUCCUGCUUCCUGUAGCUGGAAGGUGGACAGUGGCUCCAGCUCAGCCCACGGAAGAGCUCUGCUGGGAUUUGGACUUUUGAGCGUGUGAAAUUGGUGACAGAUGAGGAAACGAAGGCUCUGUGAGGCUGAAUAACUUACCCACAUCUGUAGAAGAAGCAAGUGACAGAACUGGGUGUGGGAACCAAGAUGGGAACUAAGAUGUCUUUGUUUCCACACAUCUUAACCCCGACGCCGUGUGAGCCUGGACUAACAGUGGGCAUUUCACUUGGUAUGUUGUUUUGGGGUGAGCAACUUACUAUGAACAUCCCCAUGUCAAUUGUAUUCUUGAACAAUAUGACCUAUCAUGGCUGCCUAACAGCCAUCAUGUAAAUUACUAGCAUUUAUCUAGCUGAAUUCAUAUUGUGAGAUGUUAAAAAAAUGCACUGCAGUGAAGAUUCUUACACAUUACUUUUUAUGUCUAUUGUAAUUUCCCCCCCUAAAAUAAGGUUUUUAGAUGUGAAACUUCUGGGCUUAAGGCUCCUACAUAAUAUUAAAGGUUUCGAUACACUUUGACAGAUUGCCCAGCAGAGGAAGCUAAUCAGAUUUUGUUCCCGUCCACAGUGGGUUCAGGUACCAGUGAAAGGACUUUCUUAGUGGAGAAAAGUGCUAAAAAGGUGUAAAGAGCUCAUUCCUGAAUGCCAUUCUUAUGGAAAGAAAAGGCAAAGUAUAUCUACUACCACCAAUUAAUAUAGAAGUAAAAAUAAAUAAGGCUCCAAAAUUAGGGUACCGCUUGAAAUGAGAUUCGUAUUUAAAGUAUAG